rfam:Oceanicoccus sagamiensis strain NBRC 107125, complete genome.
GACGCUAGAGCUUAGGUGGGUAGAAGGUUCCGGGGCCGUCGUUGGCAGGGAUGCCAACGAAGAGCGGCCAUGGAUGGCGAAAAGCGUGCCCCGGAACCUUCUACCCACCUAAGCUCGUUCCCA